CAAAUGGUUCUUUUUAGAACUAAACAUAUUUAAAAUUACUAGGCGG
rfam:Drosophila ananassae strain TSC#14024-0371.13 Ctg01_19294, whole genome shotgun sequence.